rnacentral:rRNA from 1 species
GACGAACGCUGGCGGCGUGCUUAACACAUGCAAGUCGAACGCUGAAGCUCAGCUUUUGUUGGGUGGAUGAGUGGCGAACGGGUGAGUAACACGUGAGUAACCUGCCCCCUUCUUUGGGAUAACGCCCGGAAACGGGUGCUAAUACUGGAUAUUCACUGGUCUUCGCAUGGGGGUUGGUGGAAAGGGUUUUUCUGGUGGGGGAUGGGCUCGCGGCCUAUCAGCUUGUUGGUGGGGUGAUGGCCUACCAAGGCUUUGACGGGUAGCCGGACUGAGAGGGUGACCGGGAACAUUGGGACUGAGAUACGGCCCAGGCUCCUGCGGGGGGCAGCAGUGGGGAAUAUUGCAGAAUGGGCGCAAGCCUGAUGCAGCGACGCCGGGUGAGGGAUGGAGGCCUUCGGGUUGGGAACCUCGUUCGCUAAUGGUCAAGCCGCAACAAUGGUUGUGGUGAGGGUAGUGGGUAAAGAAGCGCCGGCUAACUACGUG